rnacentral:rRNA from 1 species
CAGAGAUGCUUUGGUGCCUUCGGGAACUCUGAGACAGGUGCUGCAUGGCUGUCGUCAGCUCGUGUUGUGAAAUGUUGGGUUAAGUCCCGCAACGAGCGCAACCCUUAUCCUUUGUUGCCAGCGGUUCGGCCGGGAACUCAAAGGAGACUGCCGGUGAUAAACCGGAGGAAGGUGGGGAUGACGUCAAGUCAUCAUGGCCCUUACGGCCAGGGCUACACACGUGCUACAAUGGCGCAUACAAAGAGAAGCGACCUCGCGAGAGCAAGCGGACCUCAUAAAGUGCGUCGUAGUCCGGAUUGGAGUCUGCAACUCGACUCCAUGAAGUCGGAAUCGCUAGUAAUCGUAGAUCAGAAUGCUACGGUGAAUACGUUCCCGGGCCUUGUACACACCGCCCGUCACACCAUGGGAGUGGGUUGCAAAAGAAGUAGGUAGCUUAACCUUCGGGAGGGCGCUUACCACUUUGUGAUUCAUGACUGGGGUGAAGUCGUAACAAGGUAAGCGUAGCGAG